rnacentral:rRNA from 1 species
AGCGAACGCUGGCGGCGUGCUUAACACAUGCAAGUCGAGCGAAGGUGUUUCGAAGGGUAACCUUGAGAUACACUUAGCGGCGGACGGGUGAGUAAUACGUGGAUAACUUACCUCGUAGGCCUGGGAUAACCCCGGGAACGUGGGCUAAUACCUGAUAAGACCACAUUGUCUACGGACAAAGGGUAAAGGUGGCUGUGCAAACAGCUAUCGCC